UACCUGGUUGAUCCUGCCAGUAGUCAUAUGCUUGUCUCAAAGAUUAAGCCAUGCAAGUCUAAGUACGAGCUCUCGUACAGUGAAACUGCGAAUGGCUCAUUAAAUCAGUUAUGGUUCAUUUGAUCGUACAGUUUACUUGGAUAACUGUGGUAAUUCUAGAGCUAAUACAUGCGAGAAGCGCCGACCUCGCGGGAGGCGUGCAUUUAUCAGACCAAAAACCGGCCGCGUCUUCGGGCGCGUUCGCCUUGGUGACUCUGGAUAACUUUGCGGAUCGCACGGUCUAGCACCGGCGACGGAUCAUUCAAGUGUCUGCCCUAUCAACUUUCGUCGGUACCGUAUUUGCCUACCGAGGUUCUUACGGGUGACGGGGAAUCAGGGUUCGAUUCCGGAGAGGGAGCCUGAGAAACGGCUACCACAUCCAAGGAAGGCAGCAGGCGCGCAAAUUACCCAUUCCCGACGCGGGGAGGUAGUGACGAAAAAUAACAAUGCAGGACUCGUUCGAGGCCCUGUAAUUGGAAUGAGUACACUUUAAAAGCUUUAACGAGUAUCCAUUGGAGGGCAAGUCUGGUGCCAGCAGCCGCGGUAAUUCCAGCUCCAAAAGUAUAUAUUUAAGUUGUUGCGGUUAAAAAGCUCGUAGUUGGAUUUUGGGCGCAGGCGGCCGGUCCGUCGCAAGGCGUGUACUGGACGUCCUGGCCUUCCCUCCGGUUCUCCGCCGGUGCUCUUGACUGAGUGUCGGCGGCGGCCGGAACGUUUACUUUGAAAAAAUUAGAGUGUUCAAAGCAGGCUCUCGAGCCUGGAUAAUGGUGCAUGGAAUAAUGGAAUAGGACCUCGGUUCUAUUUUGUUGGUUUUCGGAGCGCGAGGUAAUGAUUAAGAGGGACAGACGGGGGCAUUCGUACUGUGCCGUUAGAGGUGAAAUUCUUGGAUCGGCGCAAGACGAACGACUGCGAAAGCAUUUGCCAAGAAUGUUUUCUUUAAUCAAGAGCGAAAGUCAGAGGUUC
rnacentral:ncRNA from 1 species